UUCUUCUUCUUUCUUCUUCUUUCACUCUCUGUUCUCUCUCAUUCCCUCUUACACUCUCUCUCGGUUCAUAGGAUACCUGCAACUGAUCUCAUCUAGGCUAUUCUUGAAAUAGCGAGCGUGUUCGAACAUCAGCGAAGCCCCUGCAACCCUUCUUCACUUCUUCAAUCUCUGUUCUCUCUCCUUCCCUCUUACACGCUGAUAUCGCUCUCUCUCGGUUGCCUCGAAUUAGAGAGAGAGAUUUCGAACAUCAACGAAUCCCCCUGCUGGUUCUUACGCACAGAAUGGUUCGAUCUAAGGUUUGGGAGGGCGCUGUUGCUUGGUGUACAGUCAUCUAGAUCUCAGCUUACUUACUCUCUUUCAAGUUAUGGAAGCAGUUGCAGGUUGCAGGUCACGAUGUUAGUUCCCUUGGAUUUGCAGUGCAGCCAAGUCUCUUGUGAACCACUUGUGCCAUGACACAAGUGCCAAUUGAGCAAUAAAAUUUUGUAUGCAAUCGGUUCUGAAUUUCCUAUUUACAUCUGAUCUCUGAAUUCUGAUUUCAGUUCAAUAUUUUGAUUGUUUGCUUUCUACUUUAUAUUGCUGGUUAUUCAACUGUUAAGAGCAUAAAUUGACCACUGGUUUCAACCCCCAUUCUGUCCAUAGAGUCUGCAGUUGUUGAAGUCAUACAAGAUGAUAGGAAUUAGGAAAUGGAAUAAAAGGUUAAAAAGAAUUCUACCAACAAGGACCAACUUGCGACUUAGGAUAAGGAACCUAUAUCCUAUGAAAGCCUAAGGGAACUUCUCUUGAUAAACCACAAGGAUGCAACAGUACAUACACAAAUAGAUUUCAGUAUCCAUAUACCUAUUAUUUAGUGGUCUGUUCCAAACAUCAAUAGCUUAUUAAAAUAAAAAGCAAAUCUAAUCCAUUCAUUUGGGCAGAGGUAAAAAUGCUGGCAGUCAGAUAGAAAGAGAGGACAAACAAUGACUUCAGAGUCUUGGUGGAUUCGAACCACCAUAACCUGGGCAUUACCCCAGGUGCUCUACCAUUUUGACCUAAAGAGGAGCUGCAAAAAAAAUUUGUUAGCAACUGUGCAAUAAGAUCAUAAAAUAACCCCAAAAUGAAGAUUAGAUUUAUUUUCAUUUCUGUUUCAAAUCCAAUACAUACAUUUGCAAACCGGUUCAAACAUAAAAAAUAAAACUAUGAAAAUUUAUUCAAUUAGAAGCUAAGAUGAAUACUGGUUACUUUCUUGUACUAUUUUUCAAUAAAUUGGUUCCAGAAAUAAAUUAGGUUGCCCCAUUCACAUCAAAUUAAUAUUGGCUUGAAAGUGAAAAUCUUAGACUGAUGUGUUCUAAUAAUGUUAUUGAAACAAUAACAACUCCAGAUGCUAAGAGGAGGAAACUGAACAGGCCAUCUGAAGUGGAGUCAUGAGAAGGGGUUUUGGGGCUCUCAUUUCUCACCCAAAUCAGUUUAGUUUUUUGGUUUGGUUGAAUGGAGUUUUGGUGUGUGAAGUUGCUCCUUAACCAAAUAAAGAAAAAGCAAGAGGAAACACGAGAGGAGAGAGGGGAAAGGGAAGGAAGGUUGAAUAAUCUAUAAACUGAGAUGAGGAGGAAUGGGAUGGAAUAUUUAGCCAAUUCUCAUGCUUAUGGCAUGAAGGAAUCAGUCACCAGCUGUUAAUGAAGAAAAUUCUGUCAAGGGAGGAGUACUCAAAAUAAAAAGAGAGGUUCAGCUUCUUGUAGUUCCCAUCUCAGAAAAAGAAAAGGGAAAUAAAGGAGGAGCAAAAUGGAAGGAGCAAAAUAAAGAAAGUCUCCUUACACGCCAGAAUUUCCAAUAGCCUUUUACUUUCUAGGAGAUUUCUUGCUUGAUUGAUUUUUAAAUAAAGAAGGCAGGUGAUCUUCCGUAGUUUAUAAGAUAUAAACUGAAAUUGGGACUCUGUUUUGCAUCUACAGGGUUGGUAAAUUGAGUUGAAAUCGAUAGGGGUCGAUUCAAACCCAAAAUUUUUUCCUCCCAAAAAGAAAGGGGGGGUAAUUAACAAGGAAAGAGAGGGUAUUUCAUACCUUAGGGUGAUGGAACCAGGAUAUGCGCUGGAUAUUUGCUAUUAUGGUGCACUUCAAAUGCAUAUCAUACUAAUGUUGACCUUUUAUCUUGCAUGUUUAUCCAGGCAGUAAAUCAGUAAACAUUAAUUUAACUCUUUUUUUAUCUCUGGAAAUCAUUGUCUUUUAUGUCUUAGAAGGAGUCUAAAUUAAGCUUUAAACAUGGUUUCUCCAGCCUAAAUUUCAUGAUGGUAUGAAAAAGUGGAGUUGUUGCAAGCAAAAUAGCCAUGACUUCAGCUUAUGUUUUAGCACUUCCGGGGGGAUGUGUCUUCCGUUUUUGGUGGGAAAUAAAGGUUGUAUUAGAAAUUUAAAUACAAUUUUUUUUUCUCAAAAUGUGCUUUCCUUGAAAUGAAUAAUUAGAUUGAUCCUGGGAGCAUGGGAUCAUGUUGCCUUUCUUCCUGUGACACAUACCAGCCAGCCAGGUAAUUGGGUGUUGGUGUACGAUGUCUUGUAUUCCGUAGCAAUUUAACCAAGGGAGUACUGGGCAGACCUCCCCGACAAAACGGAGGUUCUGCUUAGGGUUUUUUGCUAUAUAUUUGUAGCGAGAGUUACUUUCUAUGUAAGCAAUUCUGAGAGGUAAAUGGAGUUGAAAAUUUUUCUUUCCAUAUUGAUUGUAAACACUCUUGACCAGAUGGCUGCCCAGCUUCCUGUUCUGAUGCUGAUUACCUUUAGUUGGACUUUAAAAUCCUGAGGUCUCAUAUUAUUUGAUCUCUUUACUGCCUUUUGAAAUACAUGUUCUGAUUCAGUAACAGUAGGUUUUAUAUUCUUUAGGUUCACAAGCUGGAGAGGUGAACUCAAAACCUUCUAAUGCAGUGAAACACAGAAGAUUCAGAUUCCUUCUCCAGUGAAGAAGAUUAUUGAUAUCAACCAGUGUGGUAUAACCUUCAAAGAAAAGGAUAACCAUGAUAGUGCAUGCAGUUACCAUCCUUUGUUUCUCAACUCCCUGCAAAGGUCCUAGGUUUUCUGAAGAUAAUGGCUCCAUGCUGCCCCUGAUGGGUCAAUCUAGAUGUCACUCUCUUAAAAUUGGAUCAAGAAAUUUUUCUGCUCUUGCUUUACUGGUCCGAAACUAACUCAACUAGGUGUGAUUUUCCUCCUCUUUUUUUGGGACCCAGUUUCUCACCACCCAUGAUGAAGAGCAAAUCUCUUCAUCUCCCCCAUCUGACCCUCUGGUUGGAUUGAAUAAGAGUGUUUUGUGUUUUUAACGAUGAACUAAGAGUCCAAUCAUAGUGUUGAAUUAAUGUUUUAAUGAAGAGUUAUGGAGUUUUAGGGACCACAAGAGGGGGUCAGGAUGGACAUAAUUAUUUUCUCCUUAAGAAGCAACUUCUAUAA